CUGGUAUUGGGAAGGAUCAUCUUUAGGAGGAAAAAGAUGAUUGUGCAGUGUCUUUGCAGAUAUGUAUUUGAUGUGGAGGAAAAGAAAGUGCCUGUGAAGGGAAGCAAAAAGGGGAGUGUCAUGAGUGGUGCAACAGAUUUCCCUCUUUGGUUGAAGACUUGCCUGGAUGUUCUGGAGCUCACCCACCCUCGACCCUGAAAAAACAAAAGCUGUGCAAUGUGGACCAGACAUCACUGACUCAAGCCCAACUGCACUGCCUACAUAUCUCCACUGGUUGGAAGAUUUGUUCAGAAAGAGGGAGUCAGGUUAAGAAUUGUUGGUGCACUUUUAGCCACAUAAAAAAUUCCCACCUGUUGGAAAUUAGCACCUGCUGCAUCAUUCUCUAUCCCACAACUGUGAGCAGCAGAAAUGCUGAUGCUGAUUUACCCCCAAAUGACGAUGCAAAAGGGGCUGACGAUCAGCAGUUCCAUGGAGAAAAGCCACAUCAGAAGAAGGGCCUGUCAUGAGGCUGCCUUUGAUAGACAGGCAGCAGGGUUUUGUUCCCAGUACACUGAAUUCCACUAGCAACAAAUUCAGCUCUAGAGACACUUUAGUUACAUUCUAGAUGCUUUAAAGAAUGACAAGUAUUUUCAGUCAAAGUAAGCUUCUAGUUUGCAUAUCCUAAAGGUUUCUAGCACUUCAACAGCUGGUCUGCAUCCAUCUCCCUUGGGAUAUUUAGGAGAAUGUUCUGAGCUCUGACUGUAAAGUAGAAAAGACCACCCAGCUUUUCUGACUGCAGAAUGAUUUUUCAGCUUUCUCUCCUAUUUCCUCAUAUUUUUACCUGUGCGGCACCAGAGUUUCUCUCUUCUACAGCCCCUACAUCUAUCUCAGAGGAUCCAGGACCCUUCAAAUACCCUAAAAGAUGUGUGGAGAGUUGGACAUCUCUCCACCUAAGUUACUUUACCUAAGUAGUCCUGAAGUUUCUGCAUGUUUGGGUGUCAUUUUCCUACAUCUGAAUACAAAGCAAAAC